GGCUCUUUGAUUUUAAAAAAUAAAGAGUCGGACCUGCCCGGUGAUUUAUUUUAACGGCCGCGGUACUCUGACCGUGCAAAGGUAGCAUAAUCAUUUGCCUUAUAAUUGAAGGCUUGUAUGAAUGGUUUGACGAGAGUAUAACUGUCUCAAUUUGAUUAAAUAGAAUUUUAUUUUGAAGUGAAGAAGCUUGAAUAAUAUUAAUAGACAAGAAGACCCUAUCGAGCUUAAAUUAAGGCUCUAAAGGUUAAAAAAUAAUAUUAAAAAUUUGUUUAUUGCAAAUUUUGGUUGGGGCGACUUAGGAACAAGAAAAGCUUCCUAAAAUAUAAAUAUUUACUAGAUGAUCCAAAAUUUUUUUGAUUAAUGAAAUUAGUUACCGUAGGGAUAACAGCAUUAUCUUCUUUGAGAGUUCUUAUCGAAAAGAGGGUUUGUGACCUCGAUGUUGGACCAGAAUAUCCUAAAGAUGUAGCAGUCUUUAAGGGUUGGUCUGUUCGACCAUUAAAAUUCUACG
rnacentral:rRNA from 1 species